UACGUAGGGUGCAAGCGUUGUCCGGAAUUAUUGGGCGUAAAGAGCUCGUAGGCGGUUUGUUGCGUCGGCUGUGAAAUCCCCGGGGCUCAACCCCGGGCCUGCAGCCGAUACGGGCAGACUAGAGUUCGGCAGGGGAGACGUGGAAUUCCUGGUGUAGCGGUGAAAUGCGUAGAUAGUCUGGAGGAACACCGGUGGCGAAGGCGGCAUCCUGGACCGGCAUUGACGCUGAGGCGGCGAAAAGCCAGGGGAGUAAACGGGG
rnacentral:rRNA from 1 species